GGGGACAAAUAAAUUCAACUAUUACCGGAAUCCGGGGGGCGUUUGCGAAACGCAGGAGGAAAGGGGGACGAGCGACCAUUCCCCACUCCUAGGCCCUGACGCCCCUGUCCCAGCAGCCCUGGCCUUCCGCCCCGUGAGAGCCUCCGGGCCGGCAGAGGAUUCGGCCCCGCAGCGCCGCCGUCCCGUCCGGAGGCCCCGGGGGACCCGAGGGGGCCUGGGGAGGCCCGGGGUACGGGGGCAGGGCGCGGCCGCCGCGGGGCCCGCCGGCCCGAGGCCUAGCCGGCACCCCCCCUCCCGCCCCACACCCCCACCCUGGCCAGCGCAGGCCGCGCCGCUCGCCCCGCUCAGGCCCUAGCUUGACCCCCCCGCUAGCCCGCCGUCGCCGCCCGCGGGCGUCCUCGAGGCCCCCAGGCCCCCGUCCCUCGCCACCGGGCGCCGGCCCCACUCACCCUUUCAUUCUCCGCCCGAGGCCUGGAGUGGGCCGGCGAAUCACCGGCCUCACGUAAGCGCGCUCGCCGCCCGCCCUGCCUGCGCGGCCCAGCCCGCCACCCUACGGGAGCCCGGGGAUGUGGGCCGGGCCUGGGGCCGCCUCUGCUUACCUUUCAGCUGCUUUUUUUUUUUUUUUUUUUUUUUUUUUUUUCUCCUUCCCCCCUUUUCCCUCGGCUGGGCUGACAGAUCAGAGUGAGAGGCGCUGGCAAUGGACUAGGAAGCUCGGCUGCCGCUGCUAUUGCUCCCCCCAGGGCUCCGCUGAGAGCCUUUCCCUGUCAAGCAAAAGGGAUGAGGAUCAUAUUUUUAUUUUGGAAACUAAAAAGUGCUCCCAGGGUCGGUGAUUAUUAAGGGGAAAUCCCUGAAUAUACUCUCCAGCCAAGAAGGCAGGGCUGCCGGGGCUGCACAAGAAGAGGCAGCAGCCUCCUACAGCACCACUACAGGCACUGCGAGGACAUAACACCAGAGAGCAGCUCCUCUGCCCUCCGAAACGACAACUUUCCUACCAUCUUGGAGGCAGAGGAAAGGGGGGCCGGGGGGAAAAGUGCACCCGGUCCCGAUAAAGUACAAAUUUCUACUUCUCGUCUCUGGAAAAAAGUCCACAACGGCCGUCUACACCGGCGCUUGGGGGAAAAAGCAGGGAAGAAACAGGGAGUGCAUGAGAAACGCUUUCAUUUGCUCCAGGGGGAAAAAUGUUUCUGCAUCUUCUGAUGGAAAGAAAUCUUUACGAGACACAGGUUUUCCGCAGCUGGCCAGUAUGGGGAUCCAAAUCCAUGACCUUGGUGUUACCAGCACCAUGCUGUGCCAAGUGACCUAACCAGCCACUCCCACUUGUGGCAGUUUUAAUUCUUCAACACUCCUCCCAUCAAGAGCAACCAAAGAUGUAAGUGAAGAUGCCAUCUGGGAACUGAAUCCUCCUGCCAUAAUUGUUGGAGUCAUCCUCAAAUAUUCCAGUCAUCUGGCUGAGGCCCUGGUCUUAUAGAUAACUCUUACAGACAACAGUUGCCCCAUCUCUGCUGUGCCCUUCCUGUGUUCUGGACACACAGAA